UUCUGUUUAACUAUGGCAGCCGGAAGUAUUUAUUGUCUUAAUCACAUAGAAUUUUUUUAUUUUUUAGUACAUUAUAGUUAAUUUACUACACUAGUGGUUAGUUUUUUUAUAGAUUUAACUAUCUUAAAGAGGCCAAUAUUUAAAGGGGAUAGGACACAGUGCCAGCAUCUGCGGUUAA
rnacentral:rRNA from 1 species